rnacentral:tRNA from 1 species
UUAGGUUUAAGCUAUUUAAGCUAUUGGAUUCAUACUCCAUUGAAAUUCUCCUAAA